GAUGAAGAACGUAGCGAAAUGCGAUAAGUAGUGUGAAUUGCAGAAUUCAGUGAAUCAUCGAAUCUUUGAACGCACCUUGCACCCUUUGGCAUUCCGAAGGGUAUGCUCGUUUGAGUGUCAUUGUACUCUCACUCUCCCGAUGCUUUUGGAUCGGGAGUGGUGGACUUGGGUGUUGCUGCUUUGCUGUGGCUCGCCUCAAAUGGAGUAGUGCAACUCUUGGUUGGACAUAGUACGGCGUGAUAAGUGUCUUCGCCGGCGCCUCAUUAUAGAGGGUGGCCGAUCGGGAGCUCUGUGCUUCAAACCGUCUUCGGACAACAUCUGACAACUUGACCUCAAAUCGAGUAGGACUACCCGCUGAACUUAAGCAUAUCAAUAAGCGGAGGA
rnacentral:misc_RNA from 1 species